rnacentral:miRNA from 1 species
UACACUAGGUUUGGAGGAAAGUGGG